rnacentral:rRNA from 1 species
UACAGAGGGUGCAAGCGUUGUUCGGAAUUAUUGGGCGUAAAGCGCGUGUAGGCGGCUUGGCAAGUCGGGUGUGAAAUCCCGGAGCUCAACUCCGGAACUGCCCUUGAAACUGCAGUGCUAGAAUCCUGGAGAGGCGAGUGGAAUUCCGAGUGUAGAGGUGAAAUUCGUAGAUAUUCGGAAGAACACCAGUGGCGAAGGCGACUCGCUGGACAGGUAUUGACGCUGAGGUGCGAAAGCGUGGGGAGCAAACAGG